rnacentral:piRNA from 1 species
UCUGAGAACUGGCUAAAGCAGAGAUGGUU